rnacentral:rRNA from 1 species
UACAGGGGGUGCAAACGUUGCUCGGAAUCAUUGGGCGUAAAGAGCUCGUAGGCGGUCUGUCGCGUCUGCUGUGAAAACUCAGGGCUUAACCCUGAGCUUGCAGUGGGUACGGGCAGACUAGAGUGCGGUAGGGGAGACUGGAAUUCCUGGUGUAGCGGUGAAAUGCGCAGAUAUCAGGAGGAACACCGGUGGCGAAGGCGGGUCUCUAGGCAGUUCCUGACACUGAGGCACGAAGGCCAGGGGAGCAAACGGG